rfam:Aedes aegypti strain Liverpool supercont1.699 genomic scaffold, whole genome shotgun sequence.
UCCAAUUUAGCCUAGUGGAUAAGGCGUCGGACUGCCAAUCCGGAGGUGCGGGUUCGAUUCCCGUUGAUGGAG